rnacentral:rRNA from 1 species
UACGUAGGGACCGAGCGUUGUCCGGAUUCAUUGGACGUAAAGAGCUCGUAGGCGGCUGUUCAAGUCGAACGUGAAAACUCGGAGCUCAACUCCGAGCCUGCGUUCGAUACUGGACGGCUAGAGUCUGGUAGGGGGAUCUGGAAUUCCUGGUGUAGCGGUGGAAUGCGCAGAUAUCAGGAGGAACACCGGUGGCGAAGGCGGAUCUCUGGGCCUUACCUGACGCUGAGGAGCGCAAGCAUGGGGAGCAAACAGG